AGACACCACAUGCGCAGGGCCGACUGCAUUCCCACGGCGACGGCCUCCUGGCCCGCAUCAUGACUGUUGUUUUCCUCGCGGUGGCCAUAGCUUUUGGAUUUUACAUUCAGAUUGGUUCAAGGGGCUUUUUCCUUUCUCUGUUUGAAGGAAGCCACCCUCUCGAUCCCCAGUCAGCGUGGCGUCCUCUCAGCAACCCGCUCCUGGUCUUGCUUUGACUCCUGUGCUCCCGGGCUGCCGAGAACACGUCUGGAGCUUUUAAAUCAGGGUGAGUCCCAGCCGCCGAGGAAGCACUGAACAAAAAGGCCACCGCUGGGGAGCUGCAGGGGCACAGACGGAGCCUGGGAGCGGGGCUGACCAUGGGGAAGAAGGGGAGGUGGGAAAGAAGGCCCGGCCACCUCCACUGCUACAGCCACAGCGACAACAGUAGACAGUGACAGGCCCUGCCUGCCACGCACUGCAGAGUCUGUGGCUCUCCCCUGUUAAGUAAGAGCAGUCGGCGCUGACGUUCAGUGAGGUCAUGAGGAUACUCACAGAACUUUCUGGAAUAAGGGUCAGGCUGCGAAGCAUUCCCCAGACAUUGUAACAUCCAGCCAGUCACUCGUGGCAUUUAGCUUUUAGGUUCAUCUCUGUGAAUAAUCAUCACAAAUAUUUACUGAGCAUCCUUCAUCUCCUGGAAGCCUCGUGGAUUAUCUUGCUGAAUCCUCACCACAGCAGCCCGCUGAGGGAGGUGCUAUCAUCGUCCCUGUUUUUCAAGGGAGAGAAUCAAGGUUUGGGCAGGGACAAGGUCUUGCUAUGUUGCCCAAGCUGAUCUUGAACUCCUGGCCUCAAGCAAUCCCAAUAGUUCGGUCUCCCAAAUUGCUGAGAUUGUGGGUACAAGCCACUGCACCUGGACUUCUUCUGACAUUAUAAAGCAAAGAGCAUUUUCAAAAGCUGAUGCUACUUGUGCAUAUUCCAUAUUUGCUGAGCGCUUACUGUGUCCCCAUUAAGUGCCAGGCACAGUUUUCAGCACUGCUUUAAAGUGUCUACAAGCUUAGAAAGGGCAUAGGCAUCUCUUGAAAUCCAGUGUUCUAGGGAAAGUUUUUCCUGUGGUUUUGCACAGAACCCACCGCUUCCUGUCCAAGGUGACAGCUUUAGCUGGGAGAGAAAUUAAAAAUGCCUCCUUGGAAUAGCUAUCUGAUGUGUCUAAAUAUGAUUGCUGAUGUUAGCAAUAGGACCUGCCUAUUAGCAAUGGUUUGGGCAACUGUAUGUGUGAGGCAGGGAGAGAAAGAGGAAGAAAAUACAGCUCUCACUAUUGU
rnacentral:lncRNA from 1 species